rnacentral:rRNA from 1 species
CUGCGGCGGCCUAAUCAUGCCAGUCGUAACGGGUAACCACAAUGCUUGAGAGUGGCGAACGGGUGAGUAAUAUAUCGGAACGUGCCCAGUCGUGGGGGAUAACGUAGAGAAAUUUACGCUAAUACCGCAUACGAUCUAAGGAUGAAAGCGGGGGACUCGCAAGAGCCUCGCGCGAUUGGAGCGGCUGAUAUCAGAUUAGGUUGUUGGUGAGGUAAAAGCUCACCAAGCCGACGAUCUGUAGCUGGUUUGAGAGAACGACCAGCCACACUGGGACUGAGACACGGCCCAGACUCCUACGGGAGGCAGCAGUGGGGAAUUUUGGACAAUGGGCGAAAGCCUGAUCCAGCAAUGCCGCGUGUGGGAAGAAGGCCUUCGGGUUGUAAACCACUUUUGUACGGAACGAAACGGUCUGCCUUAAUACGGUGGGCUAAUGACGGUACCGUAAGAAUAACCACCGGCUAACUACGUGCCAGCAGCCGCGGUAAUACGUAGGGUGCGAGCGUUAAUCGGAAUUACUGGGCGUAAAGCGUGCGCAGGCGGUUAUAUAAUACAGUUGUGAAAUCCCCGGGCUCGACCUGGGAAUUGCAUCUGUGACUGU